CUUUGGACGCUCACGCACUGUAUGUACGCGCUUGUAAGCAUCAUUUCGUCCUUAUUGUUUGUCAAAUAUUAAACAAGGAUAAACGCUGAUGCUUACAAACGCUGCGAGCGCCAAAGUGAAUGCAGUCCGAAAGUGAAUACGCAUCGCGCCAUGUUUAUUUUUGAUUUCCGUUGUUGGUCAAAUGCUCCGUACUUUCUGCGUCUUUCAAAUGCAAAUUAAAGUGCGAAUUGAUACGCGUAAAAAGCAUUUUUCUCGUGCACAUUUUGCGUUUUAUUCGCGUUCGUAUGUGAUGUAUUAUGCGAGCGAUACCGGGAGUGCCGAAUAAAGUGUCAGAUGAUCAUUAAUUAUUAAUGUGCGGUUCGAGAACAGCAGAACGAGAUGUCAAUAGAAUUUCAGCGAGACGGCUCCUCGGAGCAACUCGAAUUAAUCGAAUAAGAAAUGUAGUAGCAGCAACAGCAGCAACAACAUUCGUUGGCAGAAGCGGAUCGCCAGUCGCCCCCGAGUGGCCCGAGUGCCGGCACGGUCGCGUUUGAUACCCGUUAUUGAUCGUGGAUCAAGAAGACAAUUCACCGAGAGGAGGCUCGAACGGCUCCAGCAACGGGCCCAAGGAUCACCCCAAGAAUGCUCCAAUGCCGUGGAAGUGAUCGCGAACGGCCCUCGCGAAGGAAACGAGACGAGUAUCGCGGAGUGGCGCGUUUCGAUAACUGCGUCGCGUCGCAAGCGUCGCCGUUGCGUCGUGUAUGAGGCGGCGAGAGAUAUUUCGACGGGUGAAGGACGAAAAGGACGGAAAGGACGCGUGUCGAAGGUGCGUGGCGAAGAGUGCGUAUCGAAAGCACGAAAGGUGAAGGAGGUAAUGUGGUGAAAAGUACUUUUGGAAGUGCCUCUAACGGAGUAAUGACUUCGCGAAAAUUCCGCGGUAUCUACGUGGCGCGCGGGGAACAGUAAUGGCGGGCGGGGGGAGCAACGUCUUUUCCCGGCUAAUUUCGGAGAAUCUUUCGAUGCCGUGGAAGUGGUCGCGGACAGCGAUCGCGCCCUGGCGAAUCGAAACGGAUGCCGUGGACGACAAUCCUAGUGAAACGAAACGGGCGUCGCGGUAUGCCGCGUUUUGGUGCAGGAAUUGUGUCGCGUUUUGACGGGAAGUUGUGUGUGUAUGUGUGUAUGUGAGAUACGUAGGAAAGAAAGGACGCGUGUCGAAGUGCAUAUCGAAAGUACGAAGUGAGAAAAAGUAGUGUGUGAUGAAAAGUGCUUGGAAGUGCCUGUAAUGGAAUAACGACUUCGAGAAAACUCCAAGGUGGGAACGGACGAGGGCAGCAACGUAUUUUUUCCGGAUGCUCGUCAAAAAGUAAGUCACAAUACAAAAUAUAUUGCCUUUGAUAUAAGAAUUCUUCGCGAUGUACGACGAAUAAAAUGAAUUGGAGUAAAUUAGAAACUACAAGUGAAAUUACGCGUAGAAUUUUCACUUAGAAUUUAUUUUAAAAAUCAUGAUAGCAGUGGGACAACGUGGGCUUUGGCAAAUUUUAU